AGGCAGUGCUUGUGGCUUUGCUGCUCCCAUGGCUUCUGCCUCCUUCAGCACCAGACUUGGGCUGGCACCUGUCAAAGCGUAAUGCAGGUAGUCCUAAGGUGAAGUGAAGGAGGACUGAAACUUCCUGUGGAGCAGAAGAGCUAAAGCUUACUUGAUCUUGAUUUUCAGGACAAAUAGACCAUGAAAAUGGGGCCUCAUGAUCUUUCUGGCUAUUUGGGUUUUAACUAGGAGGUCUCAGAAAAGUUACCACAGGGAUAACUGGCUUAUGGCAGCCAAGGGUCAUAGUGACGUUGCUUUUUGAUCCUUCAAUGUCUGCUCUCCCUAUCAUUGUGAAGCAGAAUUCGAAUUGAUAGAAGAAAAACAUUUUAUCUUAAUACUGUAGAAGCUGGUUUGGGUUUUUUGUUUGAUUGCUAUUUUU
rnacentral:ncRNA from 1 species